rnacentral:rRNA from 1 species
UACAGAGGGUGCGAGCGUUAAUCGGAAUUACUGGGCGUAAAGCGCGCGUAGACGGUUAUUUAAGUCGGGUGUGAAAGCCCGGGCUCAACCUGGGAAUUGCAUUCGAGACUGAAUAGCUAGGGUACGGUAGAGGGAAGUGGAAUUUCCGGUGUAGCGGUGAAAUGCGUAGAUAUCGGAAGGAACAUCAGUGGCGAAGGCGGCUACCUGGACCGGUUCUG